AUACGGGAGGCAGCAGUGGGGAAUAUUGGACAAUGGGCGAAAGCCUGAUCCAGCCAUGCCGCGUGUGUGAAGAAGGUCUUCGGAUUGUAAAGCACUUUAAGUUGGGAGGAAGGGCAGUAAGUUAAUACCUUGCUGUUUUGACGUUACCGACAGAAUAAGCACCGGCUAACUCUGUGCCAGCAGCCGCGGUAAUA
rnacentral:rRNA from 1 species